UACGAAGGGUGCAAGCGUUAAUCGGAAUUACUGGGCGUAAAGCGCGCGUAGGUGGUUCAGCAAGUUGGAUGUGAAAGCCCUGGGCUCAACCUGGGAACUGCAUCCAAAACUACUGAGCUAGAGUACGGUAGAGGGUAGUGGAAUUUCCUGUGUAGCGGUGAAAUGCGUAGAUAUCUGGAGGAACACCGGUGGCGAAGGCGGCGUCCUGGACCAACACUGACACUGAGGAGCGAAAGCCAGGGGAGCAAACGGG
rnacentral:rRNA from 1 species